UGCCUUACACAUGCAAGUCGAACGGCAGCACGGGAGCAAUCCUGGUGGCGAGUGGCGAACGGGUGAGUAAUACAUCGGAACGUGUCCUGUAGUGGGGGAUAGCCCGGCGAAAGCCGGAUUAAUACCGCAUACGCUCUACGGAGGAAAGGGGGGGAUCUUAGGACCUCCCGCUACAGGGGCGGCCGAUGGCAGAUUAGCUAGUUGGUGGGGUAAAGGCCUACCAAGGCGACGAUCUGUAGCUGGUCUGAGAGGACGACCAGCCACACUGGGACUGAGACACGGCCCAGACUCCUACGGGAGGCAGCAGUGGGGAAUUUUGGACAAUGGGCGAAAGCCUGAUCCAGCAAUGCCGCGUGUGUGAAGAAGGCCUUCGGGUUUGUAAAGCACUUUUGUCCGGGAAGAAAAACUCGUGGUUAAUACCC
rnacentral:rRNA from 1 species